rnacentral:rRNA from 1 species
AACGAACGCUGGCGGCAUGCCUAACACAUGCGAGUCGAACGAGACCUUCGGGUCUAGUGGCGCACGGGUGCGUAAAGCGUGGGAACCUGCCCUUAGGUUCGGAAUAACUCCCCGAAAGGGGUGCUAAUACCGGAUAAUGUCUUCGGACCAAAGAUUUAUCGCCUUUGGAUGGGCCCGCGUUGGAUUAGCUAGUUGGUAGGGUAAAAGCCUACCAAGGCGACGAUCCAUAGCUGGUCUGAGAGGAUGAUCAGCCACACUGGGGCUGAGACACGGCCCAGACUCCUACGGGAGGCAGCAGUGGGGAAUAUUGGACAAUGGGCGAAAGCCUGAUCCAGCAAUGCCGCGUGAGUGAUGAAGGCCUUAGGGUUGUAAAGCUCUUUUACCCGGGAUGAUAAUGACAGUACCGGGAGAAUAAGCUCCGGCUAACUCCGUG